AAAUACUGUAGGAGAAUUAGAAACCACAGAAACAUCAUCCUGUACAACUUUGUCAGUAUUUUGCAAAUUGUCACUUGAUGCAGGCAUUUCAGCCACAUUAUCUUUUCCUGACUCUAUUAUCUGUUCAGUGGAAGAAUCAAAAUUUCUCUGCUGCUCAUUGAUGUGAUCAGUACUUGUUGAACUAGUCUCUAAAUUAUUUGAACUUUUGGAACCAGGUAACUUUUGUGAUAAACUUGGACUGAGAGGAAGUGGAGGUGGAGCAGUAUGGAUAUGAUCAAAACCAUUAUGAGAUGAUAAAUCAUUUGGCUUGGUCUCUGUAUCUGGUAUUGAAGUUUCAGGCAGACCCGAAGUAUCCGGAGAAGCCAAACUUUCAGAUGGGCGUAUGACAGCACUUUCAGAACCAUCCAUAUUUCCAGCUUGUGGCAUAUUUCCAGCUUCUUGAUUAGUAGAACCAUCCAAAGCAUCAAAAUCACGAGAGGAUUCUAUUUUUUCAAGUUCAACAUUGUCCAGGGGAGGAGGCAAACACUGUGACAAAGUGAGUCCAUAUUGCUGAAUAGCUUGUGUUUGGACACAAUAUAUCUGUACAAUGUGGUCUCCAUCCGGUAAACUAUCACUAGUUCCAGUAAGACUUAAUAUAGGCAUUGUGACUGUGAACUCAGCAAUGUAAUCCAAGCGGGUAGCAGUUGGAUUGGUUCCAAAUUCUAUGUGCACAGCAUAUAUUGUAUUUUUCUUGGCAUUUGCUAGCAGAAACAAACCAGCACGAGGCAAUGCUACAACUUGAUUAAAGAAUGCAUCCUCAGGGUUGGGUUCAGAAGAACUUUUAAUAUCCAAAGUCUGAAUACAAUUCCAUGACUCAGAAUCACUAGGUAAUAGCCAGCCUUCCUCAUUGUCAGAUACCCAUAUCUUCACUUCCCGAUUUAGAGGCCCCUGUGGUAAAGUAAAUAUAUAUCGAAAGAAAUUAGUUUAUGGAAGAUACAAAAGUGAACCUGGAUACCACUUUGAGCAGAAAUUACUAAUGAAGGCCAAGCUGCAAAUAAAAUAGUUCAAAAGCAGCCCCAACUGAAGCAUAAUAAUAUACUGUUUCAAAUAAUAGGAAAGCCUAGGAGCAUAUACCACUGUGAUAAGAAUGAUAUGAUCAGGGCGGUGAGGAGCUGUCAAGAAUGUCACAGAAUCAACAGGUUUACCAUCAUACGGUCUUAAAACAGCAAGUGGUGUUGCCUUCCGUUCUUCCCAUAUCUUUACCUGUUGACAAUAACGAGUCAUUUAGAAGUGUAAGAAGAAGACUGGUUUCAAAUCUCUUCUUCAUAUUGACAACCCCAAGAUGCAAUUCAAUGACAUGAACCAUUUAAAGCAAAAGGUUUUGAGUUUAUAUUAAAAUUUUCGCAGAUUCCACUAGUGCAAAACUGGAUCAAACAAAGAAAAACAGCAAGGCAAGAAGAAAGAGCCAGAUGCAGACCGUGCCAUCUGCAGAUGCUGAAGCUAAUCGACUCUUCAUCCAUUGGCACAUUGACAAUUCAGUGACAUUACCGUCAUGCUUACCAAUGAGGUGCACCCCAUCAAUCAAUUUAUCAAUGUUACAUUUGAGAGGCUCCUCUGCGGAAAAUUUUUCACCUUUCCCAGCUUUCAUAGUGUCAAUUUUGAGGACACGGUUUCCAAUAGCAACUAUUAAAAUCUCCUGUAGGUCAAUUCCAACUGAUAAGCUAAAUUUUCAAAGGACAGCAAUUAGAAGAUAAUAAACUUAAGGACCAAAAAUAUAAGGUCACUAUUACUUGUUUGUGGGGAUGCCAGCAUACUCGUGGAUGAACUGACUCACUAUCUCCUAACAUCUGAAUGGCUAGGAUAACUUUUCCAGUAAUUUGAGGCUUGUCUUCCUCAUCAGGGCCCUCAUUGAUUCUCCAUACAAAAAUUGUCCCAUCAGUGCUAGCACUGUGAAUACAAGAGCAUAUUCAAGGGAGAAAUAAUUAAUCAGUGCAUUAUAAUUUAUAGCCAAAAAAAUGACACAAGAAGCUGAACGAAUAUUUACCUUGCCAAUAGGUGAAGAUCCUCAGCGAAGAAAGCCAUGUCUGUUACUCUCUGCAUAAAAAGGUGAUAUACAUAAAUUGGAGUGUGAAUAGAUUGGAAAUCAAAUAAAAAGGGAAAAUUACAUCUCAAAGGCGUUUAGCAACAGCAAACUUAUUAUAAGAGGUAGAACAAGCUUUACAUGUUCAAAGGAAGUUGAAAUCAUAAAAAUAUGAUCCACCAUGAGAUAAAAGUUACAAAGAUUACCCAUACAAUGGUUAAAGUAAGGAAGUCAAAAGGUACAUCUAUUACUCUCAAAUUUUAGGAGCUUGGUAAACAUAGCAACAUAAUCCAAACAAAUAAAAAGAAACUAAAAGAUAAAACCAGAAAUGAGAGAAAGAACACACACAUAACACAAACAAUCUUUCUCAUAUAUCAACAAACUCAUCUUAUAAUUACCAUAUCUUGUCUUUCUGCAAGCAGCUAUCUAAACAAAAAAUGAUACGCUUAAAUCAAAAGAAGGUAACAUAUUGAAAGCAGGAAAAAAAAUAAGGAGAGGAAGUGGAGGUGGAGCAGUAUGGAUAUGAUCAAAACCAUUAUGAGAUGAUAAAUCAUUUGGCUUGGUCUCUGUAUCUGGUAUUGAAGUUUCAGGCAGACCCGAAGUAUCCGGAGAAGCCAAACUUUCAGAUGGGCGUAUGACAGCACUUUCAGAACCAUCCAUAUUUCCAGCUUGUGGCAUAUUUCCAGCUUCUUGAUUAGUAGAACCAUCCAAAGCAUCAAAAUCACGAGAGGAUUCUAUUUUUUCAAGUUCAACAUUGUCCAGGGGAGGAGGCAAACACUGUGACAAAGUGAGUCCAUAUUGCUGAAUAGCUUGUGUUUGGACACAAUAUAUCUGUACAAUGUGGUCUCCAUCCGGUAAACUAUCACUAGUUCCAGUAAGACUUAAUAUAGGCAUUGUGACUGUGAACUCAGCAAUGUAAUCCAAGCGGGUAGCAGUUGGAUUGGUUCCAAAUUCUAUGUGCACAGCAUAUAUUGUAUUUUUCUUGGCAUUUGCUAGCAGAAACAAACCAGCACGAGGCAAUGCUACAACUUGAUUAAAGAAUGCAUCCUCAGGGUUGGGUUCAGAAGAACUUUUAAUAUCCAAAGUCUGAAUACAAUUCCAUGACUCAGAAUCACUAGGUAAUAGCCAGCCUUCCUCAUUGUCAGAUACCCAUAUCUUCACUUCCCGAUUUAGAGGCCCCUGUGGUAAAGUAAAUAUAUAUCGAAAGAAAUUAGUUUAUGGAAGAUACAAAAGUGAACCUGGAUACCACUUUGAGCAGAAAUUACUAAUGAAGGCCAAGCUGCAAAUAAAAUAGUUCAAAAGCAGCCCCAACUGAAGCAUAAUAAUAUACUGUUUCAAAUAAUAGGAAAGCCUAGGAGCAUAUACCACUGUGAUAAGAAUGAUAUGAUCAGGGCGGUGAGGAGCUGUCAAGAAUGUCACAGAAUCAACAGGUUUACCAUCAUACGGUCUUAAAACAGCAAGUGGUGUUGCCUUCCGUUCU
rnacentral:lncRNA from 1 species